UCUUAUGGAUGAGCAAAAAGUGUGAUUUAUUGAGAUAGAAUCUACCCCUGGUGAAGAUGCUGUGAA
rnacentral:pre_miRNA from 1 species